rnacentral:misc_RNA from 1 species
GAAAUGCGAUAACUAGUGUGAAUUGCAGAAUUCCGUGAAUCAUCGAGUCUUUGAACGCACAUUGCGCCCCCUGGUAUUCCGGGGGGCAUGCCUGUCCGAGCGUCAUUGCUGCCCAUCAAGCACGGCUUGUGUGUUGGGUCGUCGUCCCCUCUCCGGGGGGGACGGGCCCCAAAGGCAUCGGCGGCACCGCGUCCGAUCCUCGAGCGUAUGGGGCUUUGUCACCCGCUCUGUAGGCCCGGCCGGCGCUUGCCGAACGCAAAUCAAUCUUUUUCCAGGUUGACCUCGGAUCAGGUAGGGAUACCCGCUGAACUUAAGC